rnacentral:rRNA from 1 species
AGAGUUUGAUCAUGGCUCAGAUUGAACGCUGGCGGCAGGCUUAACACAUGCAAGUCGAGCGGUAACAGAAAGGUGCUUGCACCUUUGCUGACGAGCGGCGGACGGGUGAGUAAUGCUUGGGAAUAUGCCUUAUGGUGGGGGACAACAGUUGGAAACGACUGCUAAUACCGCAUAAUCUCUUCGGAGCAAAGUGGGGGACCUUUCGGGGCCUCACGCCAAUAGAUUAGCCCAAGUGAGAUUAGCUAGUAGGUGAGGUAAGAGCUCACCUAGGCGACGAUCUCUAGCUGGUUUGAGAGGAUGAUCAGCCACACUGGGACUGAGACACGGCCCAGACUCCUACGGGAGGCAGCAGUGGGGAAUAUUGCACAAUGGGGGCAACCCUGAUGCAGCCAUGCCGCGUGUGUGAAGAAGGCCUUCGGGUUGUAAAGCACUUUCAGUUGCGAGGAAAGGUAUUGUUUUAAUAGAGCAGUACUAUGACGUUAACAACAGAAGAAGCACCGGCUAACUCCGUGCCAGCAGCCGCGGUAAUACGGAGGGUGCGAGCGUUAAUCGGAAUUACUGGGCGUAAAGCGUGCGUAGGCGGAUUGUUAAGCAAGAUGUGAAAGCCCAGGGCUCAACCUUGGAACUGCAUUUUGAACUGGCAGUCUAGAGUAUUGUAGAGGGUGGUGGAAUUUCCAGUGUAGCGGUGAAAUGCGUAGAGAUUGGAAGGAACAUCAGUGGCGAAGGCGGCCACCUGGACAAAUACUGACGCUGAGGCACGAAAGCGUGGGGAGCGAACAGGAUUAGAUACCCUGGUAGUCCACGCCGUAAACGAUGUCAACUAGCUGUCUGUGGUUUUAUACUGUGGGUAGCGUAGCUAACGCGCUAAGUUGACCGCCUGGGGAGUACGG